rnacentral:rRNA from 1 species
UAAGCGGAGGAAAAGAAACCAACAGGGAUUGCCUUAGUAACGGCGAGUGAAGCGGCAACAGCUCAAAUUUGAAAUCUGGCCCUCGGGUCCGAAUUGUAAUUUGUAGAGGAUGAUUUUGGUGCGGUAUCUUCCGAGUUCCUUGGAACAGGACGCCUUAGAGGGUGAGAGCCCCGUACGGUUGAAUGCCUAGCCUCUGUAAAUCUCCUUCGACGAGUCGAGUAGUUUGGGAAUGCUGCUCUAAAUGGGAGGUAAAUUUCUUCUAAAGCUAAAUAUUGGCCAGAGACCGAUAGCGCACAAGUAGAGUGAUCGAAAGAUGAAAAGCACUUUGAAAAGAGGGUUAAAUAGCACGUGAAAUUGUUGAAAGGGAAGGAUUUGUGACCAGACUUUUUCUGGGCGGAUCAUCCGGGGUUCUCUCCGGUGCACUUUGCCCAGUAAAGGCCAGCAUCGAUUUUCGGCGGCGGAUAAAAGCAGUGGGAAUGUGGCUCCCUACGGGGAGUGUUAUAGCCCAUUGUAUAAUACGCUGCUGGGGAUCGAGGUACGCGCUUCUGCAAGGAUGCUGGCGUAAUGGUUAUCAAUCACCCGUCUUGAAACACGGACCAAGGAGUCGAACAUUUAUGCGAGUGUUUGGGUGUUAAACCCUCACGCGUAAUGAAAGUGAACGGAGGUGAGAGCCCGUACGGGUGCAUCAUCGACCGAUCCUGAAGUUUUCGGAUGGAUUUGAGUAAGAGCAUAACUGUUCGGACCCGAAAGAUGGUGAACUAUGCGUGGAUAGGGUGAAGCCAGAGGAAACUCUGGUGGAGGCUCGCAGCGGUUCUGACGUGCAAAUCGAUCGUCAAAUCUGCGCAUGGGGGCGAAAGACUAAUCGAACCAUCUAGUAGCUGGUUACCGCC